AAACUUACCGCUGAAAACGGCACCGGAUCCGCUGACAGUGUCGGAAUUGCCAUCGACAUUCUCCGAACAAACGCGGAUGCUCGCCUUCCGGCGGCCGACGACGUCGUCGAGGACGUCGAUGCAAUCGCCGCAUUUCGUCGUGUGGAUGAU
ensembl:ncRNA C30D11.4 ncRNA